rnacentral:rRNA from 1 species
UGCUUAACACAUGCAAGUCGAACGGCAGCACGGUAUGUAGCAAUACAUAUGGGUGGCGAGUGGCGGACGGGUGAGUAACACGUAGGAAUCUGCCCUGUAGAGGGGGAUAACCCGAGGAAACUCGGGCUAAUACCGCAUAGUAUCUGAGGAUUAAAGCUGGGGUUAAACCUGGCGCUAUGGGAGGAGCCUGCGUCUGAUUAGCUAGUUGGUGGGGUAAAAGCCUACCAAGGCUCAGAUGGGUAGCCGACCUGAGAGGGUGAUCGGCCACACUGGAACUGAGACACGGUCCAGACUCCUACGGGAGGCAGCAGUGGGGAAUAUUGCACAAUGGGCGAAAGCCUGAUGCAGCCACGCCGCGUGGAGGAUGAAGGUUUUCGGAUUGUAAACUCC